UAAUCUGUUUUGAAUAAAUCUUCAUCUAGUUAUAUCAGACCUACAUAAAACAGCUCAGAAUCACCUAUUAACAGAGACCCGACUGCAUCAUUAUUCUGGAAGCCACAAGAAUGCAGCUGUUGCUGCUGAGUAUGGAG
rfam:Populus trichocarpa scaffold_11_contig_166, whole genome shotgun sequence.